AUUGAACGCUGGCGGCAGGCCUAACACAUGCAAGUCGAACGAGCGGCGGACGGGUGAGUAAUGUUUGGGCAUCUGGCUGAUGGAGGGGUAUAACGCCGGGAAACUGUCGCUAAUACCGCGUACUAUAGGAUGAGCCCAAGUGGGAUUAGGUAGUUGGUGGGGUAAUGGCCUACCAAGCCGACGAUCUCUCGCUGGUCUGAGAGGAUGAUCAGCCACACCGGGACUGAGCAACGGCCCGGACUCCUACGGGAGGCAGCAGUGGGGAAUAUAGCGCAAUGGGGUCAACCCUGAUGCAGCCAGGCCGCGUGUAUGAAGAAGGCCUUAGGGUUGUAAAGUUCUUUCGGUGACGAGGCGUUAAUCGCAGAAGAAGCACCGGCUAACUCCGUGCCAGCAGCCGCGGUAAUAC
rnacentral:rRNA from 1 species